ACCUGAGAGGGUGAUCGGCCACACUGGGACUGAGACACGGCCCAAACUCCUACGGGAGGCAGCAGUAGGGAAUCUUCCGCAAUGGACGAAAGUCUGACGGAGACAACGCCGGCGUGAGUCAUGAAGGUUUUCGGAUCGUAAAAAGGCUCUGAUUGUUAGGGAAGAACAAGUGCGCGAGUAGUACACUGCUCGCACCUUGACGGUACCUAAACCAGAAAGCCACGGCUAACUACGUGCCAGCAGCCGCGGUAAAUACGUAGGUUGCAAGCGU
rnacentral:rRNA from 1 species